GACGAACUGUCCUAACGUUGUUCGGAAUCACUGGGCUUAAAGGGCGCGUAGGCGGUCCGACAAGUCAGGGGUGAAAUCCUGCAGCUUAACUGCAGAAGUGCCUCUGAUACUGUCGGUCUUGAGGGAGAUAGGGGUGUGCGGAACUUCCAGUGGAGCGGUGAAAUGCGUUGAUAUUGGAAGGAACGCCGGAGGCGAAAGCGGCGCACUGGAUCUCUUCUGACGCUGAGGCGCGAAAGCUAGGGGAGCAAACGGG
rnacentral:rRNA from 1 species